GAGUAAAGAUUUCGGUCGCUUUGGGAGGAGCUCGCUUACUAUCAGCUUGUUGGUAGGGUAAUGGCCUACCAAGGCUAUGACGGUUAGGGGGUGUGAGAGCAUGACCCCCAGCAUUGGCACUGAAACACUGGCCAAACACCUACGGGUGGCUGCAGUCGAGAAUCUUCCACAAUGGGGGAAACCCUGAUGGAGCGAUGCUGCGUGCGGGAUGAAGGCCUUCGGGUUGUAAACCGCUUUUGUAGGGGACGAAAUUUUUGACGGUACCCUUUCGAAUAAGAGGUUGCUAACUCUGUGCCAGCAGCAGCGGUAAUACAGAGACCUCAAGCGUUAUCCGGAUUUACUGGGCGUAAAGCGUCUGUAGGGGGUUUAUUAAGUUCCAAGUAAAAUUUCAAGGCUCAACUUUGAAUUCGCUUGGAAAACUAAUAAACUGGAGUCUAGCAGAGGUGCAUGGAACUUGUGGUGUAGGAGUGAAAUCCGUUGAUAUCACAAGGAACACCAAAGGCGAAGGCAUUGCACUGGGCUAGCACUGACCCUGAGAGACGAAAGCGUGGGGAGCAAAACGGAUUAGAUACCCGUGUAGUCCACGCCCUAAACGAUGAAUGCUAAAUGUUCGGGGAUUCGACCCCCUGGGUGUUACAGCUAACGCGUUAAGCAUUCCGCCUGGGAAGUACGGCCGCAAGGCUAAAACUCAAAGGAAUAGACGGGGAUCCGCACAAGCGGUGGAGCGUCUGGUUUAAUUCGACAGUAAGCGUGGUACCUCACCAGGGUUUGACAUCCCUUGACAGCCUUGGAAACAAGGUUUCCUUCGGGCAAGGUGACAGGUGCUGCAUGGUCGUCGUCAGUUCGUGCCGUGAGGUGUUCCGUUAAGUCGGGAAACGAACGAAACCCCUAUUGCAUGUUACAAUUUCUCACGCAAGACUGCCCGGAUAUACUGGGAGGAAGGUGGGGAUGACGUCAGAUCUGCAUGGUCCUUAUACCCUGGGCGACACAGGCGCUACAAUGGCAGAGACAAAGGGUUGCAAAACCGCAAGGUGAAGCUAAUCCCAAAAACUUUGUCUAAGUUCGGAUUGAAGGCUGCAAUUCGCCUUCAUGAAGCUGGAAUCGCUAGUAAUCGUGAAUCAGCCACGUCACGGUGAAUAUGUUCCCGGAUCUUGUACUCACCGCCCGUCACACCGAGAGAGUUGGUAGCUCCCGAAGCG
rnacentral:rRNA from 1 species